UGUUGAUGAUGAUGUUGAUGUUGUUGUUGUUGUUGUUGUUGUUGUUGUUGUUGCCAUCAUCAGCAUCAUCAGCAAAAUCAUCCUUCAAA
rnacentral:miRNA from 1 species